rnacentral:rRNA from 1 species
GACGAACCGUGCGAACGUUGUUCGGAUUCACUGGGCUUAAAGGGCGCGUAGGCGGCCGUCCAAGUCGGGGGUGAAAUCUUUCAGCUUAACUGGAAAAUAGCCUCCGAUACUGGGCGGCUGGAGGAGGGUAGGGGCGCGCGGAACUUCCGGUGGAGCGGUGAAAUGCGUAGAUAUCGGAAGGAACGCCGGUGGCGAAAGCGGCGCGCUGGACCCUUUCUGACGCUGAGGCGCGAAAGCCAGGGGAGCAAACGGG